GUUUCCUUAGUGUAGUGGUUAUCACGUUCGCCUAAGACGCGAAAGGUCCCCGGUUCGAGACCGGGCGGAAACA
rnacentral:tRNA from 1 species